rnacentral:rRNA from 1 species
AUUGAACGCUGGCGGCAUGCCUUACACAUGCAAGUCGAACGGCAGCACGGGGCAACCUGGUGGCGAGUGGCGAACGGGUGAGUAAUGCAUCGGAACGUACCUUUCAGUGGGGGAUAACGUAGCGAAAGUUACGCUAAUACCGCAUAUUCUGUGAGCAGGAAAGCAGGGGAUCGCAAGACCUUGCGCUGAUUGAGCGGCCGAUGUCAGAUUAGCUAGUUGGUGAGGUAAAGGCUCACCAAGGCGUCGAUCUGUAGCGGGUCUGAGAGGAUGAUCCGCCACACUGGAACGGAGACACGGUCCAGACUCCUACGGGAGGCAGCAGUGGGGAAUUUUGGACAAUGGAGGCAACCCUGAUCCAGCCAUGCCGCGUGAGUGAAGAAGGCCUUCGGGUUGUAGAGCUCUUUCGGCCGGGAAGAAAUCGCACGGGCUAAUACCCUGUGUGGAUGACGGUACCGAAAUAAGAAGCACCGGCUAACUACGUGCCAGCCGCCGCAGUAACAC